rnacentral:tmRNA from 1 species
GGGGAUGACAGGCUUCGAUAGACGGACCUGUUAUUCAUAUGUGCACCGAGGUUGUUUUGUCCUCGCAAAACCCAAGACGCAACGACAAUUGCAAACAUUGUUAGCCGAGUAAAGAGCGCUAUUGCUUCUGCAUUUAGCACUCCAGCACUCGCAUCUGCAGUGGCAUAAAACCACCGCUAUCGCGCGCAUAAUACUCAAUAAUGCGUUGCGGUACAAACCAAUUGAGUGUAGGAUAUUCGUACCGUCUGUUGCGACUAUUUGAAAUAAUUACAGACACCCGAUGUGCUAUUUUGCCAUUUUCCUAUACACGUCGGUAAACAAAAUGGCUAUGCAUGUAGAUCAUAUUUGUAACCCGCUCUAGACCCGAGUUCGAUUCUCGGCAUCUCCACCA